CGCCCACUUUAACCGACUUGACCUCGUAGCUCAGUUGAUAUAGGGCAUUGGACUAGCAAACCAAAUGUCGUGGGUUCGUUUCCUCACCGCAUGUCAAACAAACUUUUCAGCUUACUCAUAUAAAUUUGGCGAUUGUAGUUUGAAAUCGAGCAAAUGACGUAAAGGAAGCUCAACGUCUUAAAAUCGCCCACGCCCCGUCGACAGGAAUUAGGGGGGAAAAAUUUAAUGAUGUAAAUUUUUUGUAGUUGUCGGGCAAUGUCAUUUACAUCCGGGGAAAAUUUUGUCCUCACCCCUAAUUAUUUCCCUCCCGUUGCCCG